AUCAUCACUAACAUGAUCAUACCAGAAAAGAACCGCCGUGAGAUAUCCAAGUACCUCUUUCAAGAGGGUAUUUGCUACGCCAAGAAAGAUUACAACUUGGCGAAACACCCAGAAACCGAUGUUCCGAAUCUUCAAGUGAUAAAGCUGAUGCAAUCGUUCAAAUCCAAGGAAUCCCUUAAACUUUUGCUUGGAUGCAUUAUUACUGGUAACUUACAAAUGAUGGCAUCGAGUUUUGAG